AACGAACGCUGGCGGCAGGCUUAACACAUGCAAGUCGAGCGAGACCUUCGGGUCUAGCGGCGGACGGGUGAGUAACGCGUGGGAACGUGCCCUUCUCUACGGAAUAGCCCCGGGAAACUGGGAGUAAUACCGUAUACGCCCUUUGGGGGAAAGAUUUAUCGGAGAAGGAUCGGCCCGCGUUGGAUUAGGUAGUUGGUGGGGUAAUGGCCAACCAAGCCGACGAUCCAUAGCUGGUUUGAGAGGAUGAUCAGCCACACUGGGACUGAGACACGGCCCAGACUCCUACGGGAGGCAGCAGUGGGGAAUCUUAGACAAUGGGGGCAACCCUGAUCUAGCCAUGCCGCGUGAGUGAUGAAGGCCUUAGGGUUGUAAAGCUCUUUCAGCUGGGAAGAUAAUGACGGUACCAGCAGAAGAAGCCCCGGCUAACUCCGUG
rnacentral:rRNA from 1 species